ACCACACUUCGCUUCGUCAGCAGACCGUUUGGGACAAGAAAAAAAAUUCACCAUGGCUAAUAUGAUUGUGGCGAUCGUCCUUGCGUUGGGUCUGGUGCUGGGUGCCUCUGCACAGUACGAAAGCCACGCCAGAAUCCCAGAACCGCGGAUUAAUCGUGCCGUGACGGAGACAGUGACGAGGACGG